UAGAGGCUGAAAUAAUGCUGUGUAUCUACUGUAACACUUGACUUUGACCAGUAUUUACCCACCACUGCUGAUAGUUGAAAGGGAAUUGAAUUUGUCUUCUUAUCCUUUAUUUUAUUUUGCUUAUAGAUUCCUUGUGUGAAUAAAUCUGGAGGAUGGCACAAAAUGCACUGCUGGAGUGAGCCAGGAGAGACCAGAGAAGUGGUGAAGAGAAAGACACCAGAACAACACAGUGUCAUCCUUCCUUCAUCAUCUAACUGGAAGUGGAAGAGCUCAGAUUAAGUCCUUGUGUCAAUAAAUCCAGAGGAUGGGCCCAAAAUGCACUGCUUAAACUUGAGUGAGCCAGGCGAGGCCAGAGAGAUGGUGAAGAGAAAGACAACAGAACAACAGUGUCAUCCUUCUUUUAUCAUCUAACUGGAAGUGGACGAGCCCAAAUUACUUAUAGAGUCCUUGUUAGAAUAAAUCAAGAGGAUUUGUGCUACUAAAACCAGAGUGGAGAUCAGAGAGAUGGUCAGACAACAGAACAAAAGUGUCAUUCUUUCUUUGUCAUCUAACUGAAUUUAGGUGGAAGAACUGAGAUUAGUAAGUUAAGUAAGUUUUUAUGAAGUUGGUUACAGCCAUUAUUAUUGUUAUUUCUGUCUUGAUAGUUGAAUCAACAGUCACAUGCAUUCAGUAGUGAUUUUUCUGAAAUAUGUUAACUGUACUGUAUUGUAAGUUUUGUUAAAAGGCCAUGUUACGGUGUACCUUGCAAGUUUUAAUGGUGUAUGUACUUGAAUGUUUUAAAUACAAUAUUGUAUUU